AAACAGACAGAACAUGACAGCCCAUUUACCAUUUCCUCUCACAACUGGAACUCAAUUGCUUCUCUGGUUUUGUUGUAAUUUUUUUUUCUUGUUCGAUAUUUGACUCCACAGGCUCCCAAGAGAGCUUAACCAUCAUUGACGGCUUGAUCAGUUUCUACGAAAAAACCUGCAUUCGCCUCAUGUGGAAGCGUAGCUGGCAUAAAGAUUUUUUGUACUUCUUCCCCGGAUCUGGGUAAGGAGAUGCACACAGGGCAUUAUUAACUGUCGAUGCUAUGUUGGUGGCCUUUUAAAAUCUGAUUUGGCCAGAGAGCGAUGGCUCUCAUGUUUUUUUAAACCCCCAAAUCACUUUAUGUCAGGUGUAUCAGAAAAGUUCCCUGACUGGUGUCACCAAAGGUAGAGUCCAAA